rnacentral:lncRNA from 1 species
CGUCAGGCGCAAUGGAGGGUCAUACAGGGUUGUCGGGCACGCCGCAAUUUCCUCAGAGAUCAAGAUUGACUUUGCCAUUAACCUGGUGCCAAACGCCAAAGUUGAGUCUGGAGAAGAUUAUUGUAAGAUGAGGGACAGGCUCACAUGAACAGAUGGACACUGGGGGAUACUUGUUUUUCACUCCCUUGUCUGAUGGUCCAAGUACAUACAGUGUGGGUUGCCAGUCUUGCCAUGAUGAAGGUGGAUGGGUGCAUAUUCUAGUCUCCUCUUCUUAAUGAUCUCCAUAGCCACCUGCCUGUGACACUUCUUAUAUAAACUCCUAGCAUAGUGCAAAUUGAGUCAGCCAUACCAAGUGCAAGUGCCAAGAUCACUGAGCUGUUGUGUUUCCAGGCAGCCACACCAACAUCAAGGAGUGUGAGCAUUUGUCAGGAUGAAACUUGGGAGCCAAAGAAGGAGAGCAGGGUUUAGCAAAACCAUCAAGGAGCAGAGAUCAAGGCUUUAUAUCAUCUCCAGAUGUAUCGUUAUGCUGAUCCGGUGGCAUGACUGACGAAGACCAGUUUUGGCUCUUGAUUUCUUUAUUUUUCCAGCUCUGCUGUUGUUAUUUUUUCUUUUCCGGCUACCAGAAUGGUAGAGAAAAUGUACAUACAGAUAGAAUCAGAUCCUUGUAGCAGCUGCAGUAUCAAUCAAUAUUCAGUUUUGUCCCUCUCAUUGUUUGUCUCUUCCG